rnacentral:rRNA from 1 species
CUCCGCCAGAAAAUUACGGGUGAAAGCCUAAAACUCAAAAGACUUGACGGUAUUCCAACCUACCUAGAGGAGCCUGUUCCAUAAUCGACAACCCCCGAUAUACCUUACCACCCUUAGAACCAAUCAGCCUAUAUACCGCCGUCGUCAGCCCACCUUUUAAAAGAAUAAAAGUGAGCUAAAAAGUAUCUUACUAACAAGUCAGGUCAAGGUGUAGCUAAUAGGAAGGAGGUAAUGGGCUACAUUAUUUAAACUAAAUUAUAACGAAUUCUCAAUGAAAACUACAAUGAAGGUGGAUUUAGCAGUAAUUUAAACAAGAAUAUUUAAAUUAA